rnacentral:lncRNA from 1 species
AAAGCUCUUAUAUACCUUCACUUUUUCCCAGCAAAUUCUAUUAAGGCAGCUGAACUGAGGAAAAGCAUCAUAUCAGCCUCUUACUUAACCACUCAGCACAGCCCAGUCAGUCUCCUACAACUGAGCAAACCCUGAUGUCUUUCAGCCAGCCUUCCACCACUCCAGGAUCUUUCACCUGGUAUCUUUCAAGUGGGCGAAGGCAGGUUCCUGCUAUACACCAC